rnacentral:lncRNA from 1 species
UUUGUUGAUAAUCCGACGUAUAUGAGUGGACGGUGGCAUUAUUGUAAAUAGCUUGGUAACAUAGACAUCGGUUUCCAGACAAUGCGACGUCUAUGAUAUUGUAGACGUCCCAACUGCUGCAAACAAACGUCUAAUGGCCUGAGGUAGGUCAGAAGACAGUCCCGUGACGUCGGUGUUCAUGGGGGGCCGACGUCUAUAGGGCUGCAAUUAAUGCUUUCACCUAAUUCCCAGGCGCUUAGAUGUCGCUUAGUCAAUAGGCGACGUCUACGGCCUGAAUAUGGAAGGCGGGAAGAUAAAAAAUCUUCAAUUUAGACGUCGGGGAUCUGUGCACGCGACGUCUACGUGUCUGUAAUUAAUUAGAUUCACCAAAUUCGAGGGCCAUAGACGUUGGCUAGAAGGGGCACCGACGUCUAUGUGCCUGUAAGUAAUGAUGUGCAUCAUUAUAGAUGUCGGCGCUCCAUCACAACUAUCGUCAACAUCCCUGACAGAAAAUCAAAUGUCAAUCGUUUCAGCUUCCUAGACGUCGGUUCCCAUUGUUACCGACGUCUAGUGGGAUUCAAAAGGUCAGUUGAAAAGUUAACUUGGACGUCGAAUUAGUAACAGGACUGACGUCUAUAUAUAGACGUCGGCUAUCUGGAGAAACUGACGCCCAAUUUCAUUUUAAAUAGACCGCAAACUCUUCGCGGCAUUUAGUUUCUGAUAUCUUCCUUUUCCUCUUCUCCUUUUUCUCUCGCGGCACUCUUCUUUUUCUCCCUUUC